rnacentral:rRNA from 1 species
AAUAGAUACCCGGGUAGUCCACGCCGUAAACGAUAAUCACUAGAUGUUGGUUCGGCUUAGCUGGAUCAGUGUCGUAGCUAACGCGUUAAGUGAUUCGCCUGGGGAGUAUGGUCGCAAGGCUAAAACUUAAAAGAAUUGACGGGGGUCCGCACAAGCGGUGGAACAUGUGGUUUAAUUCGACACUACGCGAGAAACCUUACCUGGACUUGACAUGUACUUGACACCCAUGGAAACAUGGUCUUUUGAGCUUCGGUUCAAACAGGUACACAGGUGCUGCAUGGCUGUCGUCAGCUCGUAUCGUGAGAUAUUUGGUUAAGUCCUCUAACGAGCGCAACCCCUGCUAUCAGUUGCAAAUUAAUCUUCGGAUUAAGCACUUUGAUGGGACUGCCCGGGAAACCGGGAGGAAGGUGGGGAUGACGUCAAGUCAUCAUGGUCCUUAUGUCCAGGGCUACACACGUGUUACAAUGGCUAAUAACAAAGGGAAGCAAAACCGUAAGGUCAAGACCNAAAAACCCCCGNAAAAGUUGUCUAAAGUUCGGAUUGAGGUCUGCAAAUUUCG